rnacentral:tRNA from 1 species
UCCCUGGUGGUCUAAUGGUUAGGACUUGGUGCUUUCACUGCUGGGAUCCAGGUUCCAUACCUGGUCAGGGAA